rnacentral:rRNA from 1 species
UCCUACGGGAGAAAGCAGGGGACCUUUCGGGCCUUGCGCUAUCAGAUGAGCCUAGGUCGGAUUAGCUAGUUGGUGAGGUAAUGGCUCACCAAGGCGACGAUCCGUAACUGGUCUGAGAGGAUGAUCAGUCACACUGGAACUGAGACACGGUCCAGACUCCUACGGGAGGCAGCAGUGGGGAAUAUUGGACAAUGGGCGAAAGCCUGAUCCAGCCAUGCCGCGUGUGUGAAGAAGGUCUUCGGAUUGUAAAGCACUUUAAGUUGGGAGGAAGGGCAUUAACCUAAUACGUUAGUGUUUUGACGUUACCGACAGAAUAAG